CCCCCCCCGAGUAAAAUACACAAAUGUAUAAUACCUUAAUUCAGGAGCACAGUCUGUCUUUACCGUAAAUAACUUCGAGAAUAAUAUUUAAGUUUACUUUGCUAAUCGAUGUUCCUGUAAUUCAGAUUUAAAUUUAUUUGUGAGACCCCCCGUCACUAUUUAUAAUUCACUCAAAGAAAGGGGUUCUCCGUUACUGGGAAAAUACAAGGACGUAUUGUGUUAGUUAAUCUUAUCUAAUUCAGGAUCAAUUUAUCGGUUACACUCCCCUAUCACCAGUGAUUCUUUGUGAACUGACAUUCUGAAAAAGGUAUACUGUUGACUAUCAAUUUGCAUGAUUAGUUACAGAUGUCGACUCGGACUACUGCAAAAGACAAUAAUUCAGUUCACUGAUUUAGAUUGAAUAGUGGUUCGGUUAAUCCCCUCUUCCCCAAACAAGGCAAGAACAUUAAAGAUAAAGGGAAACUAUAAACAAAAGAAAUUAUCAACAAAAAUAGAUUUACAGACGUCAACAAAGCCUAAAUGGUCAGACAUCUUGGUUUUCAUGAUCAUCAUUCAACAGGUCAAUACUGAACAGCAAACUUAAAGUUGAUAUUUUUCUACAUAGUGUGACUUUUUUAUUAAUUUGAAAUGGAAUGUGUUUUUUUUUCCUACAUAAGAAAGAGGAAAUUUCAACAUAAUGAC